CAGAAAUGAAGGUUAUGAGUUUGGGCAUCUCAAAGUUGGUAAUUUCCAAUCAGCAGCUUAAGGACUUAUGCAGAGAGUGUAAGCAGUCAGCAAGGAACCAGGGAAAAUAAUAGUAGGGACACCAGACGUGCAUGCAAUAUUCCAGUAUCAAUUUCAUCAAUACUACGUACACAGUGACUUGGAUAAAGUGACAGAGUGCCUCCUCAGCAAGUCUGCUGGUGAUACAAAGCUGGGAGGAGUGAUUGAUGUAACGGAGUGCUGUGCUGCCUUUCAGAAGGAUCUCAA
rnacentral:lncRNA from 1 species